GGCUUUGUGACCUCCUAUAAAUGAUUUCUUCCACAUCAAUGUCCUUGACUGCAAAAAUGAGACCCUGAUCCCUACUGUGUGUAAAGUUCUCGUGAGGUUAGAAUACAGCAUCCCAGCACACUGAGCCCCAAAUCUCAGUAGCUAUUCAGUAAUUGCUCCUUGGUCUAAGUCCAACUGCAUUCCCUAAGCAUGUGGACACUCAAGGAAAGUUGGCAAUUAACUGGGGAAGUUGUUGCUAGUACACAGCCUGCCAACUGCUACAACCAUCGCCAGGCUGGGUCUGAAUGCUCAGCAAAUCCCCCCACAGGGCACUGGCAGCUUGGAGAAUGUUCAUCCCUGUGCAGACUUGCCUGCUGCAGGCAGGUGCUCAGUCUUAGAGCUGAUUAGUGCAAAUCUGAUUCAUUGUAGAAAUGACUGCUUCCUAACUCCCUGGUACAGUCACAAAGUGGAGUCUGGACAUUCUAACCAGGAGCUUUGGACCUUGAAAGGAGCUUGCUUAGUUUCUGCCAAUGACAACAUGUGCACACACGUUGUGCAUUCCUGUGAGCAAACAGGAGGCUUGGGAUCUGUUUUUGUUGUUGUUGUUGUUUUUCAUUUGGCCACCUCGAGGUAUUUGGAGUUCCUGGGGCAGGAUCAGAGCCGAGCUGCAGUUGUGACCUAUGCUGCAGGUGCGGCAGUGCUGGAUCCUUAACCCACUGUGCAGGGCUGGGGAUCAAACCUUUGUCCCAGCACUUCCAGGAUUGCUGCAGAUCCUGUUGCACCACAGCAGGAACUAAUGGUUGGUUUUUUUGUUUUUGUUUUUAGAUGUCUGUGAUCAGAGAGGCCUUGCGUUUCCCUCUGGAGAAAAGUAAUGACCACAAAGCAUGGGCGGGCAUUUCUUAGUGUGUUCUGGGAGGUCAGAUGUCAGAAAGGAGACCAAAGGGCAUCAACUUCAAGCCUUGUUCAUGGAGUCUCUUGCAGUGGCUAUUGCACUCUCUUGAGCCUUUUUCAGUUGCACUUCCCAUUGUUCCUGCUUGCCAUUUUGAUCAGGAGCUUCCUUAUACAUGUUUUAUGGAGGGGACCACCGAGUUGGGCAGGCCAUCAAACAUUUGUUGAUCCUUUUCAACCCUGUAAUGUCCACACUUGAAAAACUGGAGACGUCCCAAUGAAAAACAGCUGGGUAGUGGUUUGUAAGCUUUGGUCUUUUGUGGUGGGUAGUGGCUGCCAUAUCACAGUUAAAGGUGACAGAUAGAAUCAAUACACAUGUCCCAUCCACACCAGAACACAGUAGGAAGGGAAUAUUGAUUGUAAAUAAUCCUGUGGGCUUACACAUGUGAAAAUAGAUGUUGUGAUGCAGGGUGACCUUUCCCUACUUGUGUAACUUUGUUAUCUUUUAUUGUGAUGACAGCUAAAUGUUUUAAUCAGGAGCGCUCAGUCAACAGGCAAAGUUGAUUUGUUUGUUGCUGCUUGCUCCCUCUAAACCAGAAGUGUUCUGUUUCCAGUAAAGUUGUUUGUCUCUCCAGCACUCGUUGCCUAGGAGUCCCCCUCCCAACCCUAUAGGAGCAAAGAUUUACUAGUCAAGAUUUAACCCAAACUGUAAAAUUGGGCCAAGGUCCUCUAGGAAAUAUUAAGUAUGAAAAAUUAUUCUACACAGUAGCUUUGUUUGAUCAGGGUAAGUUAAUUUUCUCAAAAGAUUAAUGAUAGAGCUCCAUGGUGGGUUAAGAAGGGUUAAGGAUCUGGCGCUGGCGCUGCCAUGGCUUGAGAUGCUUCUGUGGUGUGGAUCCAAUCCCUGGCCCUGGAACUUCUAUAUGCGUGGAU
ensembl:lncRNA